rnacentral:rRNA from 1 species
UACGUAGGUGGCAAGCGUUGUCCGGAUUUACUGGGCGUAAAGGGAGCGUAGGCGGAUGUUUAAGUCAGAUGUGAAAUACCCGAGCUUAACUUGGGUGCUGCAUUUGAAACUGGAUAUCUGGAGUGCAGGAGAGGAAAGUGGAAUUCCUAGUGUAGCGGUGAAAUGCGUAGAGAUUAGGAAGAACACCAGUGGCGAAGGCGACUUUCUGGACUGUAACUGACGCUGAGGCUCGAAAGCGUGGGGAGCAAACAGG